ACGCAACACCACCUCACUCACUCCAAAUUCUACAAUGAACCGGUUUACAGUUUUUUUUCAAUUGCUUGAACACACAUGCUUAGACCAAAGUAACACAACUUGAAGUUUUUGUUACUAUACCUUAAACUCAUGUAACCAUUCCUUAAACAAAAGCGCUGCUUUGCACUUUAGUUGCAAUUGUGCAACACACAUGCUCCUGCACACUACACACUAUUUCAUUCAUAAGACACUAAGUUCAAAAAUGACAUCUCAGCGUACCAUUGGGAGAACACAUCUAUUUAAAAUACAAAACACAUUUGUUAAUUGAAAAUACUUGCACACACACCUGAAAACACUUUCUUACAAAACUCAACACCAAUCAGCCAGCUACAAAAAGGCCUCAGUUGAGCCAUUUUUUAGAACUUUGCAAGUAUUGAUGCAGGAAGAGCAAGAGGCAGAGGAGGAAGAGGAGGAAGAGGAGGACAGAGACAUAGAGGAGGACGUGGUCGAAGAGGCUGUGCACGGAACAUUAUUUCCGAUGACAUAAGAGCAACUUUGGUGGACCAUGUCAUAAACCAUGGCCUGACUGAGGGAAGCUUGGCAGAGAGUCCACCCUAAUCUAAGCUGUUUCACAGUUUCAUCCAUAAUAAGGCCAUUCCGACAGGAAAACAGAAAAAGAAGACCUUCUAGGGGCGGACGCCAACGCCUGUUUUCCCAACAGCAGGAACUUGCCAUUGUGGACCUACUAGUCAGAGCAAACAAUGCAAUCCGUCUCAACCAGCCACAGCAACAAAUACUUGCAGAUGGAGAAGUAUUCAACCACAUAGAGCGGAGCAUCUUGGAGCUGCACAGCCUCAUGAAUUUAUUAACAUUGAGGCUGGAUUCAACCUCAGCAGAACAAGACGACGGGGUCGUAACAUACAUAAUUGGCCAAGGGGCAACGCAGAAGAAAUAUCUAAUUGUGUGCUAUCAUAAGCCUUCAAGGGCUACUGAACCAUCAUGCAAAACUAGGUACCUUCAAUACCAAACAUAUAAUCACAUUUCUGUAUGCACUUCAUGAUGCAGCUGUACAGGACAGACAGAGCAGCCCAGGUUUGUUGUUGUCUUGGAUAAUGUUAGUUUCCAUCGGAAUGUUCUGGUCCGGAACUGGUUCACCAACCAUAAUCAAUUUGAAGUCCUAUACUUGCCCCCUUACUCGCCAUUUCCAAAGCCCAUAGAAUAUUUUUUUCCGGCUUGGAGAUGGCGCGUUUAUGACCGCCAACCACAUGCUCGCAUGCCUCUUCUGCAGGCAAUGGAACAGGCCUGCGGAGACAUUGAGGUAGGGUCAAUCCAUGGAUGGAUUCGGCACACAAGGCAAUAUUUUCCUCGAUGCUUAGCGGGAGAAACAUUGCUUGUGAUGUUGAUGAGAUCCUGUGGCCAGACCCCAACAGACGGCAGGAUCCAUAAGCCCACCCACGCACAAUUGCCAUGUUUUUCUUUGUUUACAGUAGGGUUUAUUUUUGUUUUAUUUUUGCUUAAAAUGUAUUUACUGCACUGUAAUGUACAGUACUGCAAUGUUCAGUAUUGAGUAUUUGAACUUUUGGUUAUUGUGAAAAAGUGCCUUUCUGUGGAACUGAA